rnacentral:rRNA from 1 species
CGGUCCCAAGGGUUGGGCUGUUCGCCCAUUAAAGCGGUACGCGAGCUGGGUUCAGAACGUCGUGAGACAGUUCGGUCCCUAUCCGUCGUGGGCGUAGGAAAUUUGAGAGGAGCUGUCCUUAGUACGAGAGGACCGGGAUGGACAUACCUCUGGUGUACCAGUUGUCGUGCCAACGGCAUAGCUGGGUAGCUAUGUGUGGACGGGAUAAGUGCUGAAAGCAUCUAAGCAUGAAGCCCCCCUCAAGAUGAGAUUUCCCAACUUCGGUUAUAAGAUCCCUCAAAGAUGAUGAGGUUAAUAGGUUCGAGGUGGAAGCAUGGUGACAUGUGGAGCUGACGAAUACUAAUCGAUCGAAGACUUAAUCAAAA